AUGGUGGCCUCGCAGUGGCUGGGUCAGCUGAGGCAUUGGCCUCAGCAAGCAGGUUUUUUUCCCCUAGAGUUGUAUAUAGAGUGCAUCCUGGAGUCCACAGUGAACGGACAGUUGGACCUAAGUGAGAAGCUGAUUAUCAAACUCAACUUGGGGAAGAUAUCCAUUGAAUUCCAAUUCAUAAUGAAGACAUUACUUAUAAUGCUUUAGUGCUAAUGAUGCAGCAGGUAUUCAGAGGAAAACUUCUGAGUAAUGGUGAAGCUACAAUAAAGUAUAAGGAUGAAGAUGGAGAUCCCAUAACAAUUUUUAAUAGUUCUGACCUUUCCUUUGCAAUUCAGUGUAGUAGAAUACUGAAACUGACAUUAUUUGUUAAUAGCCAGUCAAGACCCCUUGAAUCAAGUCAGGUGAAAUAUCUUCAUUGAGAACUGGUAGAACUUCGAAAUAAAGUGAAUAGCUUGCUUAUUGGACAGCUUAGAGCCACCUGGAGAACCAGGACCUUCUACCAGUAUUCCUGAAAUCGAUACUGCGGAUGUUAGGGAAGAAAAGCCUGCUGCUUCUGAUUCUUCUGGGAACCAGUCUACUCAGGUUAUGGCAGCAAGUAUGUCAGCUUUUGAUCCUCUGAAAAACCAAGAUGGAAUCAACAAAAACAUCAUGUCAGCAUGUGGAUUAACGGAUGACCAGGUUUCAGGACCACCCAGUGCUCCUACAGAAGAGCGUUCCGGAGCUCCUGAUAGCAUUGCUUCUUCCUCUCCAGCAGCACACCCAGCAAGCAGUUCAGCCACAGCAGCCUCCCUACAUGGGAGCUCAGACACAAGCAGGUCAGCUAGAAGGCCACAUGUACCUGCAUGUGCACAGCGGCCUCAGGCCCCUCCUCAGCAGUGCGGUAUUCAGUAUUAAGCUAGUUACAGCCAGCAGACUGGACCCCAACAACCUCACCAGUUCCAGGGAUAUGGCCAAUAACCAACUUCACAGGCACCACCUCUUGCCUUUUCUGGCCAGCCACAACUGCCUACUCAAUCACCACAGCAGUACCAGGCUAGCACUUACCCUCCACAAACUUAUACCACCCAAAUAUCUCAACCUGCUAACUACACUGUUCCCCCUGGCUCUCAGCCUGGAAUGGCUCUAAGCCAACCUGGUGCUUACCAACCAAGACUAGGUUUUACGCCAUCUCCUCCAAGUAUCAUGACCCCUCCUUCCAGUGAAACUAAACCUUAUGCUCCUAACUGUCCUCCUUUUGGUCAGGGCUAUACCCACCUAGACCUGGUUAUUGAAAAGAAGC